UACGGGGGGGGUAAGCGUUGUUCGGAAUUACUGGGCGUAAAGGGCUCGUAGGCGGCCAACUAAGCCGGACGUGAAAUCCCUCAGCUUAACUGGGGAACUGCGUCCGAUACUGGAUGGCUUGGAUUUGGGAGAGGGAUGCGGAAUUCCAGGUGUAGCGGUGAAAUGCGUAGAUAUCUGGAGGAACACCGGUGGCGAAGGCGGCAUCCUGGACCAAUAUUGACGCUGAGGAGCGAAAGCCAGGGGAGCAAACGGG
rnacentral:rRNA from 1 species